rnacentral:rRNA from 1 species
AAAUUGAACUCGCUGUGAAGAUGCAGUGUACCCGCGGCAAGACGGAAAGACCCCGUGAACCUUUACUAUAGCUUGACACUGAACAUUGAGCCUUGAUGUGUAGGAUAGGUGGGAGGCUUUGAAGUGUGGACGCCAGUCUGCAUGGAGCCGACCUUGAAAUACCACCCUUUAAUGUUUGAUGUUCUAACGUGGGCCCCUUACCGGGGUUGCGGACAGUGUCUGGUGGGUAGUUUGACUGGGGCGGUCUCCUCCUAAAGAGUAACGGAGGAGCACGAAGGUUGGCUAAUCCUGGUCGGACAUCAGGAGGUUAGUGCAAUGGCAUAAGCCAGCUUGACUGCGAGCGUGACGGCGCGAGCAGGUGCGAAAGCAGGUCAUAGUGAUCCGGUGGUUCUGAAUGGAAGGGCCAUCGCUCAACGGAUAAAAGGUACUCCGGGGAUAACAGGCUGAUACCGCCCAAGAGUUCAUAUCGACGGCGGUGUUUGGCACCUCGAUGUCGGCUCAUCACAUCCUGGGGCUGAAGUAGGUCCCAAGGGUAUGGCUGUUCGCCAUUUAAAGUGGUACGCGAGCUGGGUUUAGAACGUCGUGAGACAGUUCGGUCCCUAUCUGCCGUGGGCGCUGGAGAACUGAGGGGGGCUGCUCCUAGUACGAGAGGACCGGAGUGGACGCAUCACUGGUGUUCGGGUUGUCAUGCCAAUGGCACUGCCCGGUAGCUAAAUGCGGAAGAGAUAAGUGCUGAAAGCAUCUAAGCACGAAACUUGCCCCGAGAUGAGUUCUCCCUGACUCCUUGAGAGUCCUGAAGGAACGUUGAAGACGACGACGUUGAUAGGCCGGGUGUGUAAGCGCAGCGAUGCGUUGAGCUAACCGGUACUAAUGAACCGUGAGGCUUAACCUUACAACGCCGAAG